UGAACACGUUCACAUUUUCGUAGAUGAACCAUUCAUUUAAGAUGCCAGCCUAGGGUACAAAGUAUUUAUCUCCACUUUUCUGAUAAUCAGAACCAACUGACUUCAACUCGAUCUGACUCAUGACCGCAUGUGUGUCAGGGUAGAACUGUGCUCCACAGGGGUUUCAAUAGCUGAUUUUUAAGAAAUAGAUGGCUGGGCCUUUCUUCUGAGGUGCCUCUGGGAGGAUUCAAAUAUUCCACCUUUUGGUUAGCAGCCGAGGGUGUUAACCAUUUGGACCACCCAGGGACUCCUACUUUUUAAAUAUAUCUCCAUAUUUAUUUGUCUAAUAUCUUUGCAGUUUCGUGGAUUUGAAAUUCAAAAUCUUUUGGAUUUUAUAAUGGAGAUAAAGUACAUACAACCAUGAACUAUAUGCACCAUAUCCAUCUCCACAUCAGUGGGUUCUGAGACAGCACUUGUUAAACACAUUAACAGCUCUGCAGUGAAAUAGUGCAUUCAUUUCCUCUGUUGGCUAUCUGACAACUUGGCAGCUUCCACAUACUAUUUAUUUGGCUGACACUACCUGACUCCAUGGUGGACAUUGGAGAGUUGGAAGGAAGUUGUUCCCUGGCUUUAGGGUCAUGAGAACAAGUUUGAGCUUGGUCACAUCAUAUGCAUUUUAACCUUCACAGUUAUCUUGUAACCCAAACAAAUGUUAGUCAUUAUGAUAAAGGGUUCGAAGAAUUGUUUGGACAACUCAUGGAACGUUGGCUCAGAUAAGUUAUUCCAGUAAUACAGUUUCUCAAAAAAAUAUCUUCCAACUAAUGAUUUCCUGACUGUUGGUCUUCUAUAAGUUUUCUAAGUCCCAUUUGGUUCUAAAAAUGCUUUAAAAUAAUGCUCUGGCCUAAGUAUAUUUGGAGUAAUUAUCGGAUAUUUCUUAUUCACAAGGUAAUGCUAUUUUAUUUGAGGGAAAUUUUAAUAAUAAUAACUAUAUUACAGUAUGUUAACAAUGCAUUUUAAAGUCUCCUUUUACAUUUUUCCCCAGCCACUACUGAACUAUUCUUGAUAUAAAUCGUAGCAUAAAUUCAUGAUAUUCGGUAGAGAGCACUGCAUUUGAUGUGCUGGAGUUGGCUGGAACUACAGGCGCUGUGAGUUCCUUUAGUCGUCUGUCUUAUCCAUGCUCUCAGGGUUGCCAAGUAAAAGUUCCAUUUGGCAUUGUUUGUCUCUGAGUAUGGGAACCAGCAAGAGCUACAUUCAGGUGCAGGAAUCUGUGUCAAGAGGUAGGCUCUGGCUCUAUUGCUUUACCAUCUGUCUUUCAGUCUCAGACUGAAAUUCUUCUAGGAGUGAGUUGAAUAGUGUGGGUUGUAGGGAGUCCUUGUCCAGACUUGCCUCCUAACUCUUAGAGUUACUUGAAUAGAUUCUUUCCCCCUCAUUGCAUAUCAGUUUCCUCAUCAGUCCAAUGAGGUAAUAGCAACUAACACUUAUUGACCAUUAUGUACCAGGCACUGUUCUAACACCUUACAUGUAAAAUUCAUUUGAUCUUCACAACAACUCUGUGAGGGUGGUAACAGCCAACACACAUAUACUCUCCAAAUCUCCCCUACCAUGCUUUUUCUUUUUUCCUAUUGUCUUAUCUCCUUCAAAUAUGUUAUAAAGUUUUAUGUUAUGUUUUUGCUGUUGUUGUUCUGUCAGUUUCCUUGCUCUAGAGUUUAAAUGCCAUAAGGGCGGGAAUUUCCAUAUUGUAUUCUGUGAUGUAUACCGAGUACCUAGAACAGAGCCUGGCGCUCAGUAGAUACAGAUUGGAUGCUGAGUGAAUGAAGCAUAGAGAAAUUAAGCUCUACUGAGGUUCAUGGUGAUGGUGAUGGUGAAGUGGCUGAGCUGAUCCCUCGUUGUUUAUCCCCAAAAUCUACAUUCUAAGUCACAGUGUUAUACUACAUAAAAUUAGACAAUUGAUGGUUUCCAAAGCCAUGGUUCAUAAUGCUGGUUUCAUGUCAGAAUUAUACGUGGUGCUUUACAAAAUGCAGACACCUGCUGCUCCCCGCCCUUCCCCACUACAUACUCUGAUUCCCCUUUAGUGGGUCCAGAGUCAUAGCGUUUUUUCCUGAAAUUCCCAAGUGAACUUAAUUUGUAUGUAAAGUGCAGAACCAAUGAAAGAAAAAAGAAUCUUAAAGCUGGAGAGAUUUUAGAAAUGAUAUAGCCUAUCUCCUUCAAUUUCUAGAAGGGAUCACUGGAGCAUUUUGUUGUUGUUGUUGUUAGUUUACCCCUAGAUAGCAACAGAGUGUUUUGAACAUUCUUUUUUCUUUGAUUUUUCUAAGCACUUUGAAGUAGUACUAUCCAUUUAUUCUUAAAAUGUUCACUGAAUAAUAAGCACAGAGGAAACCCAAAGCACAGAGGACAGAGGAACAAACAUGAUACCUUACUUAGGGGAUUUCUUUUCACAGGUGGUGUUUGUUUUACUUGCUGUCGAGUCGAUUCGAACUCAUAGUGACCCCAUGUGUGCAGAGUAGAACUGCUCCAUGGGGCUUUCAAGGCUCUGACCUUUCCGAAGCAGAUCACCAGGCUUGUCUCCCGAGGUGCCGCUGGAUGGGUUUGAACCACCAACCUUUCAGUUAGCGGUUGAGCACAUAAUCUUCUGUGCCACCCAGGAACUCCUUCUCAGAGCAGUUACUAUAUACACUUGAUUAGUCAGCGUAGCUAGGUUAUAGUAUAGUAACAAACAACCCCCAAUUCUCAGUGAUUUAAGACCACAAAAGCUUAUUUUUGACUCAGUACGCCUGGGUAAGCAGGGAACUCUGUCAUUGUAGUUAUUCAGGGACACAUGCUGACAAAGAGCCAAGAUAUCCAAGUUUACCAGUCACUGUGUCAUACGAAAUGAGGGAAUAUGGUGAAUCCAACACUGGCUCUUAAAGUUUCUGAUUACGUUCCUUUGACCAAAGCAAGUCAUAUCGUUAUAGCUAACAUGGAGGGAAGAGGCAGAAAAGUGUGAUUCAGCAGAGGGUUGAAUGGAAAUAUUUGUUGAACAACCCUAAUGUUGUAUUUGUUAGGUGCCAUCCAGUCGGUUCCGACUCAUAGCGACCCUAUGCACAGCAACCCUAAUGGUUAUCACAAAACAAAUACAAUGUAAAGUAUGAAUCUAAUAUUCUAAUCUUACUUGAAAUCCUGUAGUGCCUUUUUUAUGGCCCUUAGAGUAAAUAUAGCAUCUUUAACAAGGCCUGUAAGACUGUAUCUGAUCUGGUGCUUACUCACCUUCACGGCCUCAUUUUGUGAUUCUUUCCCUUUUGCUUGCUUUACUCCAGUCAUAUUGGUCAAUUCUCACUUUCCUUAAUAUGUCCUACUUUCUGUGUGUGCACUUGAUGUUCAAUCUUCCCUAAAUUUUCUCCUCAACUUUUCGUAGAGCUAAACCCUACCCAACUUUCACAACUCAGUUUAUGCAUAAUUUACUCUGGGUAACU